GAUGAAGAACGCAGCGAAAUGCGAUAAGUAAUGUGAAUUGCAGAAAUCAGUGAAUCAUCGAAUCUUUGAACGCACAUUGCGCCCGCCAGUAUUCUGGCGGGCAUGCCUGUUCGAGCGUCAUUUCAACCAUCAAGCCCCAGGCUUGUGUUGGGGACCUGCGGCUGCCGCAGGCCCUGAAAACCAGUGGCGGGCUCGCUGUCACACCGGGCGUAGUAGAUUUUAUCUCGCUCAGGGCGUGCUGCGGGUUCCGGCCGUUAAAAAGCCUUUUUACCCAAGGUUGACCUCGGAUCAGGUAGGAAGACCCGCUGAACUUAAGCAUAUCAAUAAGCGGAGGA
rnacentral:misc_RNA from 1 species